UACAGAGGGUGCAAGCGUUGUUCGGAAUUAUUGGGCGUAAAGCGCGUGUAGGCGGCUUUGCAAGUCGGGGUGUGAAAGCCCUCAGCUCAACUGAGGAAGUGCGCCCCGAAACUGCAGAGCUUGAGUACCGGAGAGGAUGGCGGAAUUCCCCAAGUAGAGGUGAAAAUUCGUAGAUAUGGGGGAGGAACACCGGUGGCGAAGGCGGCCAUCUGGACGGAUACUGACGCUGAGACGCGAAAAGCGUGGGGGGAGCGAAACAGGG
rnacentral:rRNA from 1 species